AUGCUCCAGGUCGAUUUCCUCUCAGCCUAUUGCCUGGGUUGGCUUUAUUAUCGACAGGCUUUGCAGGUGGCAACAAUAUGUUCAAUUUUAGAAUUAGCAUCACGAAUCUUUAUUUCAGCAUGUCUCAGGAGAUCUUGCAUUUUCCGAGUGCCCAUGUGGGUGGUCCGGUGUAUCUUGGAGAGAACUUGUUCUCCCAGUGUCUUAGGCAGGAUGACUUUACAAUCAGAAGAUUUCCACCACCCGUUGAGGCACUGGGGCGUAGGUAAUUGUUUUAUCCAAUUUAAGUCCUUUUCAGUGUACUGGGGCUUUUCUGGGAGGGCUGCACUUCCCGGAUCGGGCAGCUGAGUGGCCAGUGUCAGAUCAACCUUUAGGGCUAUUUUUUGGGCCGUCUGGUCAGCUAGGUUAUUUCCUCUGGCAAUCGGAGUGUCAUCUUUUUGGUGUCCUGGGCAAUGGAUAAUAGCCAAUUUUUUUGGUAGCCAGAGGGCUGUUAAGAGGGCAAGGAUUUCUUCUUUGUUUUUAAUAGUCUUUCCUUCAGCUGUCAGUCGUCCCCUUUCUUUGUAGAUGGCCCCAUGGAUGUGCGCGGUGGCAAAGGCAUACCGGCUAUCUGUGUAUACAUUUAACUUUUGGCCCUGUCCUAGAGUCAAUGUUUUGGUCAGAGCUAUGAGUUCCGCCCGUUGUGCUGAGGUCCCGGUGGGCAAUGGUUCUGCCCAAAUGACCUCGGCCUCUGUUACCACAGCUGCCCCAGCAUACCUGUGGCCAUUGCGAACGAAACUGCUCCCAUCAGUGUACCAGGUAUUAUCUGCAUCUGGCCACGGUUGGUCUCUCAGAUCCACUCGAAUUCCAUGCACCUGAGCUAGGAUGUCUGUGCAGUUGUGAAGUGGGGCCUCUAAGUCCGGGUCUGGCAACAAUGUGGCCGGGUUUAGGGCAGCCGGGGUCUGAAAAACAACUCAGGCUGGAUUUAGGAGUAAGCUCUGAUAGUGAGUCAGGCGGGCGUUACUGAGCCAUCGAUCCGGAGGCUGUUUUAGAACUCCCUCAACAGCGUGAGGGGUGGUUACAUACAGUUCUUGGCCCAACGUUAACUUGUCAGCAUCUUUGACCAUCAGGGCCACUGCCGCAAUCAUUCUUAAACAUGGGGGCCAUCCUGACACAACUGGAUCGAGUCUUUUUGACAGGUACGCCACUGGGCGAUGCCAUGGCCCUAGAUACUGGACUAGGAUGCCCUUGGCGACCCCUUUGUUCUCAUCAAUGUAUAGGUGGAAUGGCUUAGUAAUAUCGGGCAAGCCUAAGGCCGGUGCCGACAACAAGGCUGCUUUGACUUGGUCGAAAGACUUCUGUAGCUUUUCUGUCCAUUGAAAGACCUGAUUGUCUUUAGUUGCCUCAUAAAGGGGCCUCGCGAGCUCUGCGAACCCUGGUAUCCAUAGGCGGCAGAAGCCAGCCGAUCCCAAGAACUCUCUGACUUUUCGAGGGGAAUCUGGGGUGGGUAUCUUAAGAACUGUCUCUUUUCUAGCGUCCGACAGCCAUCUUUGCCCCUCUCUAAGCAUGUACCCGAAGUAGCUUACCUCGGGUUUGCAGAUCUGGGCCUUUUUUGCAGACGCCCGGUACCCCAGCUCUCCUAUGACCGUCAAGAGUUUC
rnacentral:lncRNA from 1 species